rnacentral:rRNA from 1 species
GACGAACGCUGGCGGCGUGCUUAACACAUGCAAGUCGAACGGAAAGGCCCUGCUUGCAGGGUGCUCGAGUGGCGAACGGGUGAGUAACACGUGGGUGAUCUGCCCCUUACUUUGGGAUAAGCCUGGGAAACUGGGUCUAAUACUGGAUAGGACCAUGCUGUAGGUGGUGUGGUGGAAAGAUUAGUUUCGGUAAGGGAUGAGCUCGCGGCCUAUCAGCUUGUUGGUGGGGUAAUGGCCUACCAAGGCGUCGACGGGUAGCCGGCCUGAGAGGGUGGACGGCCACAUUGGGACUGAGAUACGGCCCAGACGCCUACGGGAGGCAGCAGAGGGGAAUAUUGCACAAUGGGCGCAAGCCUGAUGCAGCGACGCCGCGUGGGGGAUGACGGCCUUCGGGUUGUAAACUCCUUUCAGCCAUGACGAAGCCCUUGUGGUGACGGUAGUGGUAGAAGAAGCACCGGCUAACUACGUG